rnacentral:rRNA from 1 species
UUUUUACUUCUAAAAAAUUAUCCUUUAAGUGAAGAGACUUAAAUAAAAUAAAAAGACAAAAAGACCCUAUUGAGCUUUAUUUCAUAAGUUAAACUUCUAUAGCCUAUGCAAAAGAACCUUACCUAUAGAAAUUUUGUUGGGGCGACAAGAGAAGACCUAAAUCUUCUCUAUACUACAAGAAUAUUCCUCUACUAAUGAUCCGUAAUUAACGAUUAACAGAACCAGCUACCAUAGGGAUAACAGGCUAAUCUUCUUUGAGAGCCCAAAUUGACAAGAAGGAUUGGCACCUCGAUGUUGGCUUAGGAUACCUGAUAGAUGCAGAA